rnacentral:rRNA from 1 species
UACGAAGGGGGCUAGCGUUGCUCGGAAUCACUGGGCGUAAAGCGCACGUAGGCGGACUCUUAAGUCGGUGGUGAAAUCCUGGAGCUCAACUCCAGAACUGCCUUCGAUACUGAGAGUCUCGAGUCCGGGAGAGGUGAGUGGAACUGCGAGUGUAGAGGUGAAAUUCGUAGAUAUCGGAAGGAACACCAGUGGCGAAGGCGGCCUUCUGGACCAGUACUGACGCUCAUGCACGAAAGCGUGGGGAGCAAACAGG